rnacentral:rRNA from 1 species
GACGAACGCUGGCGGCGUGCUUAACACAUGCAAGUCGAACGGAAAGGCCCUGCUUUUGUGGGGUGCUCGAGUGGCGAACGGGUGAGUAACACGUGAGUAACCUGCCCUUGACUUUGGGAUAACUUCAGGAAACUGGGGCUAUUACCGGAUAGGAGCUCUUGCUGCAUGGUGGGGGUUGGAAAGUUUCGGCGGUUGGGGUUGGACUCGCGGCUUAUCAGCUUGUUGGUGGGGUAGUGGCUUACCAAGGCUUUGACGGGUAGCCGCCCUGAGAGGGUGACCGGCCACAUUGGGACUGAGAUACGGCCCAGACUCCUACGGGAGGCAGCAGUGGGGAAUAUUGCACAAUGGGCGGAAGCCUGAUGCAGCAACGCCGCGUGCGGGAUGACGGCCUUCGGGUUGUAAACCGCUUUCGCCUGUGACGAAGCGUGAGUGACGGUAAUGGGUAAAGAAGCACCGGCUAACUACGUG